rnacentral:rRNA from 1 species
ACGGAGGAUGCGAGCGUUAUCCGGAUUUAUUGGGUUUAAAGGGUGCGUAGGCGGACUAUUAAGUCAGUGGUGAAAUCCUGCAGCUUAACUGCAGAACUGCAUUUGAUACUGAUAGCCUUGAGUCUGGUUAAGGUAGGCGGAAUGUGUAAUGUAGCGGUGAAAUGCGUAGAUAUUACACAGAACACCGAUUGCGUAGGCAGCUUACUGAGCCGUAACUGACGCUGAUGCACGAAAGCGUGGGGAUCGAACAG